rnacentral:tRNA from 1 species
GCGGAUGUGGUGGAAUUGGCAGACACGAUGGAUUUAGGUUCCAUUGCCAACCGGUGUGCAGGUUCAAGUCCUGUCAUCCGCACCA